UACGGGGGGGCGAAGCGUUGUUCGGAAUUACUGGGCGUAAAGGCUCGUAGGCGGCCAACUAAGUCAGACGUGAAAUCCCUCGGCUUAACCGGGAACUGCGUCUGAUACUGGAUGGCUUGAGAUUGGGAGAGGGAUGCGGAAUUCCAGGUGUAGCGGUGAAUGCGUAGAUAUCUGGAGGAACACCGGUGGCGAAGGCGGCAUCCUGGACCAACACUGACACUGAGGAGCGAAGCCAGGGAGCAACGG
rnacentral:rRNA from 1 species